rnacentral:tRNA from 1 species
AGGGUUCUUAGUAUAAUGGUUAAUACAUGUGGCUUUUAAUCACUAAGAUAUCGGUUCGAAUCCGAUAGAACCUA